CUCCUGGAAACGGGUGGUAAUCCCUUAUGCUCCAUCAUGCUGCAUGGUGUGGUGGGAAAGCUUCCGUGGUAUGGGAUGGGGUCGCGUCCUAUCAGCUUGUUGGUGGGGUAAUGGCCUACCAAGGCUUCGACGGGUAGCCGGCCUGAGAGGGCGACCGGCCACAUUGGGACUGAGAUACGGCCCAGACUCCUACGGGAGGCAGCAGUGGGGAAUAUUGCGCAAUGGGGGGAACCCUGACGCAGCGACGCCGCGUGCGGGAUGGAGGCCUUCGGGUUGUGAACCGCUUUUGGUAAGGAGCAAGCGAGAGUGAGUGUACUUAUCGAAUAAGGACCGGCUAACUACGUGCCAGCAGCCGCGGUAAUACGUAGGGUCCAAGCGCUGUCCGGAAUUAUUGGGCGUAAAGGGCUCGUAGGCGGCCUGUCGCGUCUGGUGUGAAAGCCCGUGGCUUAACUGCGGGUCUGCGCUGGAUACGGGCGGGCUAGAGUGCGGUAGGGGAGAAUGGAAUUCCCGGUGUAACGGCGGAAUGUGUAGAUAUCGGGAAGAACACCAAGGGCGA
rnacentral:rRNA from 1 species